GAAACCCUCGGGAUUGUAAUUUGAAGAUUUGGCAUUGGAGAAAGCUAACCCAAGUUGCUUGGAAUAGUACGUCAUAGAGGGUGACAACCCCGUCUGGCUAACCGUUCUCCAUGUAUUGCCUUAUCAAAGAGUCGAGUUGUUUGGGAAUGCAGCUCAAAGUGGGUGGUAAACUCCAUCUAAAGCUAAAUACUGGUGAGAGACCGAUAGCGAACAAGUACUGUGAAGGAAAGGUGAAAAGAACUUUGAAAAGAGAGUGAAAUAGUAUGUGAAAUUGUUGAUAGGGAAGGAAAUGAGUGGAGAGUGGCCGAGGUUUCAGCCGCCCCUCGUGGGCGGUGUACUGCCGACGCCGAGUCAUCGAUAGCGAGACGAGGGUUACAAAUGGGAGCGCCUUUCGGGCGUUCUCCCCUAACCCUCCACACUGCCACCGACGACAUAAUCCACCCAUUUCACCCGUCUU
rnacentral:rRNA from 1 species